rnacentral:misc_RNA from 1 species
CAGAGACACUUUGUCUUACUAGUAUUGUGAACUGUGUUUUUACUGGGGAGGUCGAGUGGUAUUGGUGAGAUAGAGUGUGAGCCCUCUGUGGUUUGCACACUCUUACCAGUACCACUUACACUCGGCCGACCUACUUUAUUUAAACGUAUCACUCACUCAAUUCACUUAAAAGCUUUAUUUAAUAUAAAGA